rnacentral:lncRNA from 1 species
GAGGAGUAAUUGCUGUCUUCGAUUAACUUUCAUCCAGUCCAUAUAUCUUAGCCAUUGGAAAAUCUUAAAUAAAAUCUUCUUUAAAGUCCUUUCAAACUUUUUUGAGAGUAGUUGUCAGUUUAGGCAUAUAUCCCAACUUUAACUUGUACGUAUGGUAAAAAUAUUACUUGCCCAUAGAUGGCAAUAGCAUUACAUUGCUGAAUUAGCCCUCAGCCUAUGAAAUGAGGUUGUGAUGGUGGUGAACAUUAACCUUGGGAAUGGAAAAAAAAUAUCUUGCCUUUUCUUUUUCUUCUUUUUUUUUUUUUUCUUGUCUGCAGCAGUGGCAAUGGGGACUGUUCUAUUUGCAGGAAUGUUGGGACUAAUCAUGUGAGAAAAGAUCCUGGAGUGAUGAGGCAGCAUAUUUCCCAUGUCUGAGGUCAGGAUUUGUUCUGUGAAGCUGACCUUUAAAACAGCCUGAAAAUGAGGAACGUGGCACCAGAGAGCAGAGCAGGAAGCAUGAAAUGAUGGUAGGAGAAAGCCGGAGGCACCGUCCUGGAACAGGCAGUCCCUUUUAUCACUGGGAAAUGGCGGACCACAGAGCAAGUGGAUGUGUUUCCAGAGCCACAGCAGGUGCAACUCUUGGGCAAGGAGCUCUCCAGCCUGAGCUCUCCAUUUUGCUUGGAUUAUGGAACAGUGGUGCCUGAAGUCACUUAAAAUACAGCAUAGAACUUGUCUGUUGCCACCAAUGGUAAAUGUACUAAAGUUAGAGGAGAGGAAGCCA